rnacentral:piRNA from 1 species
UAUAAUGAUAAACUUAUUAGAGGCUAAGAAA